rnacentral:lncRNA from 10 species
AGCGCCCAUAAGCGCGGGCAGCGGUGCUCACAGCCACCCCGUCCAAGAUAAAGCCUUUCUCCAGUCGCAGGCGACACUCGCUCAGUUUCCACAUACAGCAUUGGAUCUAGGUAAUUAUAUAAAUUACAUAUUUUAUUAUUUUAUUUAUUUCUGAGACAGUGUCGCUCUGUCGCGCAGGCUGCAGUGCAGUGGAGCGAUCUAGGCUCACUGCAGCCACCGCGUCCUGGGUUGAAGCCAUUCUCCUGCCUCAGCCCAGAGUAGCUGGGAGUACAGAUACACACAACCACACCCAGCUAAUUUUUUUUGUAGAGACGGAGGUGUUUUUUUUGUUUGUUUGUUUUUUGGGUUUUUUUUUUUUUUUUUUUUUUUGAGACAGAGUCUCGCUGUGUCGCCCAGGCUGGAGUGCAAUUGCGCGAUCUCGGCUCACUGCAACCUCCACCUCCCGGGUUCAAGUGAUUCUUCUGUCUCAGUCUCCCGAGUAGCUGGAGUUACAGGCACCUGCCACCACUCCCAGCUGAUUUUUUAAUUUUUUUUGAGACAGAGUCUCGCUCUGUUGCCCAGGCUGGAGUGCAGUGGUGCGAUCUCGGCUCACUGCAAGCUCCGCCUCCCGGGUUAACGCCAUUCUCCUGCCUCAGCCUCCCCAGUAGCUGGGACUACAGGCGCCCGCCACCACGCCCAGCCAAUAUUUUGUAUUUUGUUUAGUACAGACAGGGUUUCAUUGUGUUAGCUAGGAUGGUCUCGAUCUCUUGACCUCGUGAUCCGCCCGCCUUGGCGUCCCAAAGUGCUGGGAUUACAGGCAUGAGCCACCGCGCCUGGCCUAAUUUUUAUAUUUUUAGUAGAGACGGGGUUUCACCAUUCUGGCCGGGCUGGUCUUAAACUCCUGACCUCGUGAUCCGCCCAUCUCAGCCUCCCAAAGUGCUGGGAUUACAGGCGUGAGCCACCAUGCCCGGCCUUGUUUUUUUUUUGUUGUUGUUUUUUGUUUUUGUUUUUUCUUUGAGAUGGAGUUUCACUCUUCUUGCCCAGGCUGGAGUGCAAUGGCACGAUCUUGGCUCACUGCAACCUCUGCCUCCUGGGUUCAAGCGAUUCUCUUGCCUCAGCCUCCCAAGUAGCUGGGAUUACAGGCAUGUACCACCACAGCCAGCUGAUUUUGUACUGUUAGUACAGACAGGGUUUCACCAUGUUGAUCAGGCUGGUCUUGAACUCCUGACCUCAGGUGAUCUACCCGCCUCGACCUCCCAAAGUGCUGGGAUUACAGGCGUGAGCCACCACGGCCGUUGUUUUGUUUUUUGAGACAGAGUCUGGCUAUUGUCGCCCAGGCUGGAGUGCAAUGGUGCGAUUUUGGCUCACUGCAACCUCCACCUCCUGGGUUCAAGUGAUUCUCCUGCCUCAGCCUCCUGAGUAGCUGGGAUUACAGGCGCCCAUCACCACACCCAGCUAAUUUUUGUAUUUUUAGUAGAGACGCGUGUUUCGCCACAUUGGCCAGGUUGAUCUGGAACUCCUGACCUCAGGUAAUCCACCUGCCUUGGCCUCUCAAAGUGUUGGGAUUACAGCCGUGAGCCUCCGCACCCAGCCGAGAUGGAGGUUUUUUUAAUUUUUUUUGAGACGGAGUCUCACUCUGUCGCCCAGGAUGGAGUGCAGUGGCACGAUCUUGGUUCACUGAAAGCUCCGCCUCCCGGUUUCACGCCAUUCUCCUGCCUCAGUCUCCUGAAUAGCUGGGACUACAGGUGCCCGUCACCAUGCCUGGCUAAUUUUUUUUGUAUUUUUAGUAGAGACGGGGUUUCACCGUUAGCCAGGAUGGUCUUGAUCUCCUGACCUCAUGAUCUGCCUGCCUCGGCCUCCCAAAGUGCUGGGAUUACAGGCGUGAGCCACUGUAACUGGCCUGUUUUGUUUUUUUCAUAGAGACAGUCUUGCCCAGGCUGGAGUGCAGUAGUGUGAUCAUUGCUCACUGUAGCCUUGACCUCCUGGCCUCAAGUGAUCCUCCCACUUCAGCCUCCAGAGUAGCUGAGACUAAAGGUACACACCACCACACCCGGCCAAUUUUUGCGUGCCUGUAGCUAGACUUCAGAAUUGCUCAUCUCAGCCUCCAGAGUAGCCGGGAUAAUAGGCAUGCUCCACUAGGUCUUGUAGUGAAUUUACUAUUUUUUUAUAUUUACUACUAUUUUUAUUAUGAAAGUACAUGUAUUACUGUUCAAGUUGCAAGCUACUAUAAAUCAGAUCUGAUAUCUUGAAUCCAUUCUAUUAAAACUUUUACCUAGAAAGAACUUGCAGAAUAUAAACAGUGACAAAGGAAACAAUAUAUAUAUAUAUAUAUCUGGCCGGGCGCAGUGGCUCACACGUGUAAUCUCAGUACUUCGGGAGGCCGAGGGGGGCGGAUCACCUGAGGUCGGGAGGUGGAGACCAGCCUGACCAACAUGGAGAAACUCGGUCUCUACUAAAAAUACACAAUUAGCCAGGCGUGGUGGUGCAUGCCUGUAAUCCCAGCUACUCAGGAGGCUGAGGCAGAAGAAUCACUUGAACCCGGGAGGCGGAGGUUGCAGUGAGCCGAGAUCACACCAUUGCACUCCAGCCUGGGCACAAGAGCGAAACUCGGUCUCAAAAUAAAAAAAUGCUAAAAAAAAAAAAAAAAAAAAAAAAAAAAAAGAUACAAAAAUCAGCCUAGCGUGGUGGCGGGCACCUGUAGUCACAGGUACUCGGGAGGCUGAGGCAGGAGAAUCGCUAGAACCCAGGAGGCAGAGGUUGCAGUGAGCUGAGAUUGCACCACUGCACUCAAGCCUGGGCAACAAGAGCCCAGGAGUCUCUUGGAGCCCAGGAGUGAGAUGGAGUCUCCCUGGCUCACUGCAACUUCCGCCACUGCAACCCCUGCCUCUUGGGUUCAAGCAAUUCUCCUGCCUCAGCCUGCGGAGUAAUUGGGACUACAGGCACGCGUCACCACGCCCAGCUAAUUUUGUAUUUUUAGUAGAGACGAGAUUUCACCAUGUUGGCCAGGCUGGUCUUGAACUCCUCACCUCAGGUGAUCAGCCCAUCUCGGCCUCCCAAAGUGCUGGGAUUACAGGUGUGAGCCACCAUGCCCAGCUGACAAAGGAAAACAUUUAGUGAAG